rnacentral:lncRNA from 10 species
GGUACAUGUGCACAAUGUGCAGUUUUGUUACAUAUGUAUACAUGUGCCAUGUUGGUGUGCUGCACCCAUUAACUCGUCAUUUACAUUAGGUGUAUCUCCUAAUGCUAUCCCUCCCUCCUCCCCUCACCCCACCACAGGCCCCGGUGUGUGAUGUUCCCCUUCCUGUGUCCAGGUGUUCUCAUUGUGGAGCCGCUCUUUCUAUGUCCUGCCCAGGCAGAGGCCUUCCCAAAAGCUCUAGAGCAGUAGUUCUCAAAAUGUGACCCUGGACUCGCAGCAUCAGUGUCACCUGGGAGCUUGUUAGGUAUGCAAAUUCUCCAACCCCACCCCAGCAUUACUGAAUCAGCAAUUCUGGGACGGGGUCCAGCAAUCUGUGUUUUAACAACACUCCAGGUAAUUCUGGUGCACACUGAAGUUUGAGAACCAUUGAUCCAGAUGUAUGAAAACUCAUUUUCCAAGUUAACACUGAGUUCCAAAAGGUUUAUAUCAAAGUACUCCUUUUGUUGAAUCUUCCUCUGUAUGUCAAAUUACCUGUUUACAAUCCUCCGGGGGUCCCCUCUUGCCUUCAUGACAAAAAACAAAUUGCUUAGCUUGGUCUACAGAGAACUUACAAGCCAGCCCCUACCCAGCCCCGCCUCCCUACCGCAUACACCAUGCUCCACACCCACAGUGCACAUUGCCCACUUUGUGUUAUGCAUAUGCUGGGUCCUUUCCCUGGAAUAUAAUACUUUUUCCCUCCUUUGCCUGGUAGACCUCUCUCCUUGAAGACAAAGUGUUGAUAUCAACUCCACCUUCAAGUCUCUCAAGCAGAACUAGAUGCUGUUUCUUCAAUGUUUCCACAUCUUCUUGUUCACAUGUGUCUAAGAUGCUUCAAGGGAAAUCUGUCUCCCCAGACACUUGCGUACUACAUUGUAAGCCAUUUUUACUAUGAAGAAGAUUGUAAGCUCAAUUACGGGCUUUACUGCGCUGAUAACGAACACAGAUAUGAGACAAGCAGACUUGAGCUCCUGCCUCGAGGAUGGUGAGCAAAGAGCCUAAGCAAAACUGAGAGGAAAUGAAACACAAAGAGGAAACAGAAAGCAACAAUAGGAAAUGGAUCCAUCCGGCUCACCCCUUCCUCCUGUACUUCAAUCUUGCCACUAGCUGAACCCAACAGGAAGCUAAGUGGCAGAGAAGUGAGGGAAAUACAGCCUGCAAAGAAGGACAAGGGAAGGACCUGGGGGCAAACAUGCCCCCAUGUAUAUAAUGAAAACAAGGCUUAUUCUCUUCUGAUUCAUUCAAAUUCCGUUGCUUAAUCAUGGGAAUCAUGGAAUGGCAUUUGGUCAAGGAGUAAUUUUCAUGAGAUGGUUUGGUAAUUUUCUGGACUUCAUUUUAUUUUUCAUUAUUUUAUGAGCAUGUAAAUCAAAACAGAUGAUAUCACCUCAUCUUUCUCAAUGGCAUCAGUAACAGAACAAAAUCAAAUGAAAGUGCUCCAUAAAAAUGAGCACUGCCCAAGUUAUAGUGUGUGCGGGCUGCUGCCCACUACUCCCUUCUCUGAGUCAUUCCCCGAUGUGACUUGGCAGCCCAGCUCCAUCAGCUCUGUGGUUGAAAAAAAAUGGGUCAUUGCACUGCGACAAAAGGACAUUCAUUGAAAAUACAGCAAUUAAGAAAAAUUUGAGCUCCAAUAGUCUCAAAUGACCAAAGGAAGCUUGUACUUGCAGCGUGUGGGUGCCAGCAGCAGGCAGACCAACAAAGCAGCAGGAGUUCCACCAGCAGCCACCAGGGACACGUCUAAGAAUUCUAUCAAACAGAAGGAAGUGGCUGAACUCCACUGAUGCAGGGGACAGGAGGCCUUGGAAAAGGCUGUUUUCAGCAUUACUAGCAUUUAAUUGAAACAUUCUGGAACCUGUAGUCCCAGGACCUAAAAAUAGGGCAUCACAACAAAAGACUCAACAAUAACGUUUUUCCUUAUGAAAUUUUAUUUUUGCUUAAAUAUAGGGGAAUAUAUAGGACACUGUAAAGGCAAAGUCUCACUGGUUUCUCUCUCUCUCACACACACACACAGAAUUGGAAGAGUUCAUAAAUAAAACAAAUUAGCAAAAAUGUUGAUGGUUGUUGAAGCUGGAUGAUGGGUACAUGAGUGUUCAUUGUAUUAAUCUCUCCUACCUUUUGUUUUAAAAUUUUUAUUAAAAAGGGAAAAUGUAAAUGUUGAUUUCAUUGGAUACAUGUUUUCCCUAGUUAGUCUUCCUUUACACUGUUCAUUUCAUUGUCACUAGGCUUCACCAUGUCUCUGUGUCGUGGGACCCAGCAGCAUGCAGAUAUUGCCAAGUGUGCUCUGAUUCUGUCUGUACUUAUGUGGAAAGCAGAAGCCUGCUCUGGCAGAGGAAGGGCGGUGUCCAGGCAAUAGGCAUAGGAAAUGAGUAGGCAGCAGGCUGAAGAGGGUGAAAAAAAACAGGGCAAGAGCAACCCCUCCACUGAAAUGCACUGGGAAGGGGGACUUAGAUACUAACACAAGUUCAAUUCAAGAAGCAUUUAUUGAACCGUCCUCAUGAGCCAGGUCAGGGUGUUCAGCACUGAGCGUGUCAAGACGAAGACACAUAGCCUCUAAGUGUCCACCAUCUACAAUAGCUAAUGUUUAAUUGUCCUUAAAAGUUGAAGAAUGUUGACUGGAUUGUCUGCAAAUCAGUCAUGUGAGUAGUGUUAAUCUAAUGAAGAAGAAUCUUAAAAGACAAAUUCUCCAAAUGCUGCUGCUCCUGCAUCCUGCUGCUCUACCUGCUGUGGGGAGGAGGCAUUGGGAAUUAGUGUUAAACAAGACACAAAAUGUGUGCUCUCAGGAAGAUCAUAUGCCAGUGCAGAGAGAUGAUAAACACGAAAUCCAAUAAAUACACAGUUUGUGCCAUGAAGAAAAUAAAACAAGCUGAUGAAAUUAUAACUACCAGUGACCACUCCCUGAUAUGCUGCAGAUGCAAUUGAGUAGCAGCUUCAUUCCACAUUUCUCCAACAUCUUUCAUGGUGAGGUCAAGAGCAUAUUCAAAACCAUGUGUGGCUCAGUCCAACUGGAGAGACCAAGUCAAAGAGCCUCAUUUCCAUAAGGUAGAAUCUUGUCCAUACCUCUUCACUCACAACACAGACCAAUCUUGCAGAAGCCAGGAGGUUCUGAGUAAGGUCUGCAUAAAGAAAUAAUACCAUAGUUUCCAAUUGGCCAGUUUCGUUCUCUAACCAAACAGCUGCUGCCUGCUUACUGAGUGUGCAUGCCCACGCACACUCACACUGACUGUAACUCACCAUCAGCUGUAACCAGGCAGUUCUCUCAAGCCAUCUGCAGCUGGGCAAAAACCUAGAAUGAUUAAGUCAUUGAUAGAACACCACUUUCCUAAAAAUGGCAAUACUUAAAUACAUCUAAUCCUGAUCAAUACCUUGAUAUUCUAUAUCAUACAUUUAAAAAUCAAGUUGCCUAAUUAUUUUAAAUAUAUUCCAAAUGAACAAAAACACAUUAUAACUCCAAAUCACCAUGUUACCACCACCAUGGCGUGGAACCUUCCUGUCCACUCCAGAAGGCAGUUUUGUGCCCUCCUGGGCACCUGUGUCGCAGCCUAGAGACACUUAGACAUCCACCGGGAUAGUCCCAGGGCUCAGCUGUGUUGUUUCCAUGUCUCAGUGAUCACUUUUCUUUGUUGCCUGAUGUCUCAACAUUUUGAAAACUGCUGUUUCACAUAUUUUGUCUGGUUUUCUAGUUGCUUCAGACAGGAGUUAACUACAGUCCUUAUUACUUUGUCUUUCCUGAAAGCAGAAGUCUUUUAACUAAAGAAGGGUAGAUAUUAAAUGUAUCAUCUUUAGAAUUUGAUGAGAAAGUAAAAUUGCUUCCUCACUGUCCUCACCGGAUUCACAGGGGGAAAUGAUUCAGAGGCUUUUGCCUUUACCUCCUAGAGCAUGUUCUUGCAACUGUUGGGCUAGUCUUAUCUGGCCAAACUCUGUUACUAACAGAAUGUCUAGUUAUUUUGCAGGCACAGAGUUAAGAAGUGGCAAGUUAACACAGCCAGAGCAUGCACAGAAGAAAACUUCGACCUCAAAUAACACCUAGAACCAAAGUCCCUACCGCAGAACUAAAAGAUUGGGAUGUGGCUGGAACUCAAGCACCUAAACACUUUCAAAAGUGAGCAGUUCGUUUUCUAGGAAUGUUCACUGAUAAGACCCUUCCCCUUGCCUUACCAUAAAUAGUUACUUAAAGAUCCUCC